rnacentral:rRNA from 1 species
AUUGAACGCUGGCGGCAGGCCUAACACAUGCAAGUCGAGCGCCCCGCAAGGGGAGCGGCAGACGGGUGAGUAACGCGUGGGAAUCUACCCAACUCUACGGAAUAACUCAGGGAAACUUGUGCUAAUACCGUAUACGCCCUUCGGGGAAAGAUUUAUCGGAGUUGGAUGAGCCCGCGUUGGAUUAGCUAGUUGGUGGGGUA